rnacentral:rRNA from 1 species
GCUGGCGGUCAUAGGGCCUAAGUAACACCCGUACAGGACGUCUGAUUAUAUUUCGGUGUCCGCGGAACCAUUCCGAACACGGAAGUUAAGAGAGGCUCCGUUCCCAACGUUACUUCAGUGGGAGACCCUGCGGGAAAUUGGGAAAGCUGCCAGGU